UACGUAGGCAGCAAGCGUUGUUCGGAGUUACUGGGCGUAAAGGGUGCGUAGGCGGCUUCUUAAGUCUGGUGUGAAAUCUCCCGGCUCAACUGGGAGGGUGCGCCGGAUACUGAGGGGCUAGAGUGUGGGAGAGGAAAGUGGAAUUCCUGGUGUAGCGGUGAAAUGCGUAGAUAUCAGGAGGAACACCGGUGGUGUAAACGGCUUUCUGGACCAUAACUGACGCUGAGGCACGAAAAGCGUGGGGUAGCAAAACAGG
rnacentral:rRNA from 1 species